rnacentral:lncRNA from 1 species
AAAAUGCCCAAUGGACCUUAACUCUACCAUAACUUAGAUCUCUUAAGACAAAGUGAUAUCCCGACUUCAGUCUCCUCAAGAGCAGAUAAUAUGAGUAUGCCAUCAUUUCCAGACUUGCAUAUGUUUUCCAUAAAAAUGAAACAUGGAAGCCAAAGCAAUCUUGGUUUUAAAAUUUAAUUAUCCUUUUUAGAUAUUUAUGUACAACUGAAAUAAAACAAUUAUUAGUUGCCAAGAAUCUCAAGCCUGCUUCUUUUAUUGCUCUCAACAUAAUAAGCACUUUAAUACAGUACAAAAAUAUUUCUAUACCAUCUGUUUGGGGACAUUGCUAACAGGGAAGAUUGAUAUCAGAGAACUAAUCUUUUUUUCUCUUUCUUGGCUUCUUCAGGAGGAAAAAAAUAAUACAAAUGCAGAUUAAGAUCAGUUUUCUCAAGGCUUGAAGCAAUAAUUCUUGAGGCAGAUCUCUAUACAGCUGGAGGAAGAGAAGAAAAAAGAAAGAGAUCCUCAUCUGUUUGGAAACUUUAGUUUUAUUGUAUGAUUGUCCAUCAACAAGCAUUUACUUAGCAUAUGCUAAGAACCAGGCAUUGUGAAUCAUCUAUGAAUCACUGUCAUCUUCAAAGAGGCCAUUCUCAUGUAACAACCAGAUUUUCAACAGAAUAUUACUCCAGAAGAGGGAUCUAAUAGUGCCUUCAGAAGGACUCUCAUUUUCAUUUUCAUAUCUCCUGCGUCUGGUAAUUUGUACAUAUAAGAUGCUUCAUUGUGUUUGCUGAUUUUAUUUUAUAGUGAUUUGCAUGUAGAAGGUGCUUAAUAUGUGUUGCUGAAUUGAUGCUUAGACAUCAAACUUUAGGAAAAAGAGCAAUAAGCUGGAAACUACCCAGAGGAAGAAAAUUAGGAUGAUGAGAGGUUUAGAAUUAAUAGUAUAAUAUGAUUAUUUAAAAGAAUUGGGAAUGUUUAGCCUGAGUAAAUGAAGAAUUAUGAGAGGCAUAAAGGUUCAUCAUGGAGAAGAGAUUUUACUUUUGCUUGAUGGCAGAAGGCAGGGAGAGUAGCAAUAAUGGGAAGUUGAAAAGUGGGAAAUUUGGUUUUGAAAGAAAGGGUUAAAUUUCUACCAAUUUAAACUGUGCCAAAGUGGAAUGACUUUCCUUGGGUUGUAAUGUAUUCCCUCUCUGAAGGUUUACAGUCAAAGGCUGAAUUAAUACAUGCCAGAUAUCUUGUAGAAAAAGAUACUUGUUCAUUUAGGGGUAGAAUGGAUGACCUCUGAGUUUCAUUCUAAUUCCAAGACUCUGAUUCCCCAUUGAUUAUAUAUCCCCUAAUUAAAUAAUUCAUCAUGCAGUUUAGUCUUUACUUCCCAUGAUGUACUAGAGGUAACUUCUUGUCCAAGGCUCAAAUCAUUGCCUCUCUUCUGCCAAGAUUCAAUUAUAAUUAAGGUUAUGAAGUGGUUAAGAAAUCUGCCCUGCAUUCGAAUGUCUGAAUUAGCCAAAUGGACACAAGUAGAGAAUUAAUUUUAAUAUGGAUUUAAUGGUAAAUGUCCCAUAUAUUUCCCAGUUUCACUCCAAAUCAUAUUAGCCUCAAAAAAUCACUUUAAUUAAGAGGAAGUAUUUGGUAAAUAAUUUCUGUCCUUAUCUUCUUUCAGCAAUAUUCCAAAAUGUUUCCUUAAAUUAAUCUACUUCAACAAGUAAUCAUAUUUCUCUGGUGACCUUUCCAGGAUAUUAGAAACUCAUCAUUUUUUAAAAAAAGGAACAAAUAGCUUAACAACCUUGCACCUGUCUGCACAUUUUAAAUGGAAAUGAAUUAAGAGAUUUAUAACUCUUUAAUUACAUUGAAAUGUACAAAAUUCAUCUAAUUUCUCUGCAAUACUGAAAUAGUACAGCAGCAUCUGGGAGAAACAAUUGACCACAUUCUGCUUAUUGAAGAAAUUACUUCCUGAGGGACUUGAUUAUUUCAGACCAUUGUUUAGUGAGUGGAACCAUUUUUAAAAGUUGUAUCCCACUGGCUAAAAGGAGCUAGUGCACUUGACAAAGGUCUGUUCCAACUUUAAAUCAAGGAUGUUACUAUUCUCUGUAGUAAAGUAUUCAGCCUCAGGGGCAGGACUGGUUUGGUUCAAAUCCUGCCUCUGACAAAAACUGUCAGUACAAGAUGAGGCAAGUCAGUUGGCCUCUUAUUGCUCCAGGAAAUUAGCUAAAGGCAUAAAUUGUCACCCCAUUGUCAUCUGGAUGGGCAUAGGGGGUUUCUUCACCAGAAAUUCCUUAAAGGAAUAAAAUCAUAUGUGUGGAAAGAACA